GGCAGGCUUUUCCACUCUGCCAAACAAAUUCUACUAAGGGUACCAGUCUCUCGAGACUGGUCUCUGGUGUAAUUUGAGUAGCAAACACAG